rnacentral:rRNA from 1 species
UACAGAGGUCCCAAGCGUUGUUCGGAUUCACUGGGCGUAAAGGGUGCGUAGGUGGUUGUGCAAGUCUGAUGUGAAAUCUAUGGGCUCAACCCAUAGUCUGCAUCGGAAACUGUCGGGCUUGAGUAUGGGAGAGGUGAGUGGAAUUUCCGGUGUAGCGGUGAAAUGCGUAGAUAUCGGAAGGAACACCUGUGGCGAAAGCGGCUCACUGGACCAUUACUGACGCUGAGGCACGAAAGCUAGGGGAGCAAACAGG